rnacentral:rRNA from 1 species
CAAGGUGCUGCAUGGCUGUCGUCAGCUCGUGCCGUGAGAUGUUGGGUUAAGUCCCGCAACGAGCGCAACCCUUAUCCCCAGUUGCCAUCAGGUAAAGCUGGGAACUCUGGGGAGACUGCCGGUGAUAAACCGGAGGAAGGCGGGGAUGACGUCAAGUCCUCAUGGCCCUUAUGUCCAGGGCUACACACGUGCUACAAUGGCCGGUACAAAGGGUAGCAAGACCGCGAGGUGGAGCCAACCCCAAAAAGCCGGUCUCAGUUCGGAUUGGAGUCUGCAACUCGACUCCAUGAAGUUGGAAUCGCUAGUAAUCGUGGAUCAGCAAGCCACGGUGAAUACGUUCCCGGGCCUU